UGCCAGCAGCCGCGGUAAUACGUAGGUCACAAACGUUGUCCGGAAUUAUUGGGCGUAAAGGGUCCGUAGGCGGUUCGGUAAGUCUCCUGUGAAAUCUUCAGGCUCAACUUGAAGAGGUCGGGGGAUACUGCUGGACUAGAGACAGACAGAGGCAAAUGGAAUUCCCGGUGUAGUGGUGAAAUGCGUAGAUAUCGGGAGGAACACCAGUGGCGAAAGCGGUUUGCUGGGUCUGUUCUGACGCUGAGGGACGAAAGCGUGGGUAGCAAACCGGAUUAGAUA
rnacentral:rRNA from 1 species